GAGCACAUGUCAUGUCAUUUGCAGCCACGAGAGAGCAAGACGAGGUACGUGUACCCUGCCGGCUGUCUCCUAAUGUACGUCGGUCACCUUUUGGUGAGCGCUAUAGCUAGCAAGGUGGCGACCUUCCUUGCACCUUCCACUUCAAGUAUGCAACAAAUAUAACUACUCAACGCUGCACAGCACAGGAUUCAGCAUUCAAUCACUCUCAUAAUUUUAUUGUCAUUUCAUCUUUUAUGGGGGACGCCCCACUCUUAAUUUUUAUCACUGAAUGGCUGCUGACGUACGUAUAUAUAAGAGCACUACAAGAUACGACAGGAAAGGCCCAGCUUUCUGAUCGAGGAGGAGAUGAUCUGCUAUUGGCUCUGAGUGAUGGAGUGGAUCUACCUCUGAGAGACAAAGGGCCAGUUACUGUAUCAUAUAUGAAUAUUCUGUUUCUUGUACAUUUCGUAGUAAUUGACUGUAGAGUAGCAUCUUGAGCUCCCCUUUUUUCAUCAAUCUGCAGGCAGUGUAUGUGAUUUCUGACAGGAAAGGCUACUCUAAACAGAGGGAGUCGGCCACACAAGGUAUAGUCUAAUAAUUAUUGUACGGUACUUAGAUGAUCUUCUCUAUUUGGGGUCAGAUGCAAUUGCCUUGAAUCACUAGCCAGUUAAAACAUUUCUUCUACUCUUGGCUUAAGAAAUUGUAUUUUAUUGUUGUACCAGCAUUAGGUAGUUAACUCCACUUAUGCAUUGACCUCUACUACCGUGUAGCGGGAAAGUUCGUUAUUUGAGCCCUCGAGAAAUGUUGUAUAGUUGUUCACAUUUCAAUGCCAGGAAACCAUAGCUUUGCAUGGUGCGUGGGAGUGUCUUCCAUUUAUAUUACGUGAAGUGUGAAGUGUGAAGUGUGUUGUAAGUUUGUACAGAGAGGACUCCCAUGGUGGCAAUGAUCUGAUGAUGGCUCCACUGCUCUGAUGGACCAAUGCAGGAGAAGUUAUUCUGUAUAAUUAUCACACUAAAUUAAUGUAUGCCACUGUUUGGAUCGGUUUCUGUUCUGCUCAGCUUCUUCCUCCAACUUGCUUACACAGGCUAAGCUUAUUCUUAAUUAGUUCAUUCUUAGUUCAUUCUAUAGUCUAGUAUUAUUGUCGGUUUGGUUGUUUUAUGUUUUUCACCUGGUCAUACGAAAUCACUUCAUUAAUUUUUAUACAGUGCAGACCGCACCUCUAUCCACACAUUGUACCUGCACAUCCUGUAUAUGUGGGGCCACACCCCCACUCACUGUACUGAUAUGUGGUCACACCCCCAUACAUGGUAACCCUCUUGACCACACCUCCACCCAUGCAUUGUGUCGUACAUGCUGUGUUUUUGUGUACAGUACACACAUCAUCCGUGUCUUUAUCCCCACACCUAGUCGGAGGGAGCAGCAAGUUCUACUAAGAGCCAGCAUCACCAACUAACCAACACUACAAAACCUACCUACUACCAGCUAGGACAGCACACCACCCGGGACAGACUCUACUAUACCAUGUAAUACGCCUUUGUAUUAACGAUCAUGAUACAAUUUGCUGCCCUCCCUCGCCCAUGGAUUGAAUAAUUAUGGACACUCGCAGGAGACUGACACACAAUAAUAGACACCAAAGGGCCAGUUACUGUAUCAUGUACGAAUAUUCUGUUGCUUGUACAUUUCGUAACAUUAUCAGUAAUUGACUGUAGAGUAGCUCCCCUUUCUUCAUCACUCAAUGCAGGCAGUGUAUGUGAUUUUCUGACAGGAAAGGCUACUCUAAACAGAGGGAGUCGGCCACACAAGGUAUAGUCUAAUAAUUAUUGUACGGUACUUAGAUGAUCUUCUCUAUUUGGGGUCAGAUGCAAUUGCCUUGAAUCACUAGCCAGUUAAAACAUUUCUUCUACUCUUGGCUUAAGAAAUUGUAUUUUAUUGUUGUACCAGCAUUAGGUAGUUAACUCCACUUAUGCAUUGACCUCUACUACCGUGUAGCGGGAAAGUUCGUUAUUUGAGCCCUCGAGAAAUGUUGUAUAGUUGUUCACAUUUCAAUGCCAGGAAACCAUAGCUUUGCAUGGUGCGUGGGAGUGUCUUCCAUUUAUAUUACGUGAAGUGUGAAGUGUGAAGUGUGUUGUAAGUUUGUACAGAGAGGACUCCCAUGGUGGCAAUGAUCUGAUGAUGGCUCCACUGCUCUGAUGGACCAAUGCAGGAGAAGUUAUUCUGUAUAAUUAUCACACUAAAUUAAUGUAUGCCACUGUUUGGAUCGGUUUCUGUUCUGCUCAGCUUCUUCCUCCAACUUGCUUACACAGGCUAAGCUUAUUCUUAAUUAGUUCAUUCUUAGUUCAUUCUAUAGUCUAGUAUUAUUGUCGGUUUGGUUGUUUUAUGUUUUUCACCUGGUCAUACGGAAUCACUUCAUUAAUUUUUAUACAGUGCAGACCGCACCUCUAUCCACACAUUGUACCUGCACAUCCUGUAUAUGUGGGGCCACACCCCCACUCACUGUACUGAUAUGUGGUCACACCCCCAUACAUGGUAACCCUCUUGACCACACCUCCACCCAUGCAUUGUGUCGUACAUGCUGUGUUUUUGUGUACAGUACACACAUCAUCCGUGUCUUUAUCCCCACACCUAGUCGGAGGGAGCAGCAAGUUCUACUAAGAGCCAGCAUCACCAACUAACCAACACUACAAAACCUACCUACUACCAGCUAGGACAGCACACCACCCGGGACAGACUCUACUAUACCAUGUAAUACGCCUUUGUAUUAACGAUCAUGAUACAAUUUGCUGCCCUCCCUCGCCCAUGGAUUGAAUAAUUAUGGACACUCGCAGGAGACUGACACACAAUAAUAGACACCAAAGGGCCAGUUACUGUAUCAUGUACGAAUAUUCUGUUGCUUGUACAUUUCGUAACAUUAUCAGUAAUUGACUGUAGAGUAGCUCCCCUUUCUUCAUCACUCAAUGCAGGCAGUGUAUGUGAUUUUCUGACAGGAAAGGCUACUCUAAACAGAGGGAGUCGGCCACACAAGAGAGGACUCCCAUGGUGGCAAUGAUCUGAUGAUGGCUCCACUGCUCUGAUGGACCAAUGCAGGAGAAGUUAUUCUUCGGAGGGAGCAGCAAGUUCUACUAAGAGCCAGCAUCACCCACUAACCAACACUCUACAAGACCUACCUACUACCAGCUAGGACAGCACACCACCCGGGACAGACUCUACUAUACCCAUGUAAUACGCCUUUGUAUUACGAUCAUGAUACAAUUUGCUGCCCUCCCUCGCCAAUGGAUUGAAUAAUUAUGGACACUCGCAGGACAACUAAGAGACUGACACACAAUAAUAGACACCAAAGGCAGUGUAUGUGAUUUUCUGACAGGAAAGGCUACUCUAAACAAAGGGAGUCGGCCACACAAGUCGGAGGGAGCAGCAAGUUCUACUAAGAGCCAGCAUCACCAACUAACCAACACUACAAGACCUACCUACUACCAGCUAGGACAGCACACCACCCGGGACAGACUCUACUAUACCAUGUAAUACGCCUUUUUAUUACGAUCAUGAUACAAUUUGCUGCCCUCCCUUGCCCAUGGAUUGAAUAAUUAUGGACACUCGCAGGACAACUAAGAGACUGACACACAAUAAUAGACACCUAACUGCAUUUUUGCCAUUAAUAUAAUAAAAAUAAUUUUGCCAUUAA